GCGGGGCAUGCCGGGAACUGUAGUUCUCUGUUGUGAGGGCAGGGAAGGCGGGUGAGAGCAGGUGCAGGUGGUGUUUGUGUGGAGCACCAGCCCUGAGCUCCGUGUCCUGCCCUCUGGAAUGUGGGAGCCAGAGAGGAGCUGCAAGAAGGAUCUGUGGGAGCAGGCUCUGAACUGGGCAGUGGAUCCUGCUCUGAUCUCCACUGGAAUGAUGCAGCAGGCUGGGGAAGUGCCCUGGUUAAGAGCCUGGCUGCCAGAUUGUCUCAGAGAAAUUAAUUUUGGACAGAUAUUUCUGAGAGCUCAGUAAUUGACUAUUUUGAGAUACUCUCCUUCAGAGGCAGUGCUAAUAUUAAAAACAAUACAAGAACAUUUCACAGCUUUGGGCACACUGAGCAAUGUGUUAAGGCUAUGCCAAUGCUUGAACAGUAUUUUAAAGUUGAAAGGGAACAAUGUGGCUGCCAAAAGAAAAGCUCCCAUGGCAGUGUCCAAAAGGAGAGCGACUGACACCAAGGAGAACCUUCCUGGGCAUCUGGGGGAUCUCCUUUGCUUUUGGGAUUUGAUCAGUAACGUUUGAACUCACAACUGGAACUUUUUGGCUUCCCAAAGCUCAGGGGAGUUUUGCCCCUCACAAUUAACUGAGUUCAUUUCCAGUGAGGGCACCUAAAAAUGCCAAAAUCCUACUGUUAUAUCCCAAACCUGGAACAAUGGCCCCCAGCAUUGCAGGGCUGCAGCUCUCUGGUCUCAUCUGGGAUUUGGGGUAAAGCAUUUUGGUAAUGUUUCUGACACCUAAUUCAAUUCAACAAAGGGGGAUUUAAGAUAUGAACUCUGGAGAAAUUGUCCCCUGGGGUGACACGGGCCCUGAGCACUGUGGGUGAGCAGCUUUGUGCAGCUGCACAAUUCCCAAAGUUCCAGCGUGACUCUCUGCACAUCGGGACUUCCCUUCCUUUCAUUCCCUUCCUUUCAUCUGCUCACUGCAGCUCUCCCAACAGAAUCUCCUUCUCAUCCAUCCGAGUCCUUUCCAAGAUAAUUCUGUGGAUCCAACAAACCCACCCCGACCCCUGCCCUCGCAUCCCAACUCACCCAGUGGCAGGACAAUGAAGAAGGGGAGCCAGCACAGGAUAAACAUGCCAACCACAAUUCCCAACGUCUUGGCCGCCUUCUUUUCUCUGGAGAAUUUUAAAAGUUUGAAAGCUAAGGAGUUCCUGGGGUUGUGACCCUUGGAUUUGGUGUUGUUCAAGGAGUCCUCGUGAACGUGCUUGUAGUGAAUCCGUAAGGUCAGCUCCUUGGAGUUGGACAUUUCCUUCAUCACCCCAGCUUCCAGGUUCCUGGUAGUCCUUUUGGCCACGAUGUAGACCCGGCAGUACAUGACGAGGAUGACGAUCAAAGGGAUGUAAAAGGAGCCCAGGGAGGAGAAGAGGGCAUAGAAGGGCUCCUCGGUGAUCCGGCACUCCCUGUCGUCCUGCGGGGCCGGCUCCUUCCAGCCCAGCAGAGGCCCGAUGGAAAUCACCAUGGACAGGACCCAGACACCCAGGAGCGCUAAGAUCGCCCUUCUCCUGGUGACCAGCGUGGGGUACUGCAGGGAGUAGCGGACCCCGAUGUACCUGUCGAUGGAAAUGGCACACAGGCUCAAGAUAGAGGCUGUGCAGCACAGCACAUCCACUGCUGCCCAGAUGUCACAGAAUAUCCUCCCCAAAACCCAGUAGCCAAGCACUUCCAGCGUGGCAGAGAACGGCAGGACGGUGAAACUCAGCAGCAGGUCUGCUAUGGCCAGGUUAAUGAUGAAAUAGUUCGUAGGGAUUCUUAAAUGUCUGUUGCAAGCCACUGAGAGAAUUACCAGGAUAUUACCUAUGAUGGCAAAGAGAAUAAAGGCACCGAGGAUCAGCCCCACAAUGAUCGCCCUGCUGGUGGCCAAGGCAGGUGAAUCCAGGUCGCUUCCCGUCUCGUUGGAG